rnacentral:snRNA from 1 species
GUGCUUGCUUUGGCAGCACAUAUCUUAAAAUUGGAAUGAUACAGAGAAGAUCAGCAAGGCCCCUGUGCAAGGAUGCAUGCAAAUUCGUGAAACAUUUCAUAUAUAU